rnacentral:lncRNA from 1 species
UCCAUUACAAGAAUCCCAUGUUCAGGUUGCUGUCAUUUGCUGCAGGAAAACUGACAAAUAUCUAAAGAUCCGAAGUGGAGGGCAUGACUACGAAGGCAUUUCUUAUGUCUCCAACAUCAGUUUUGUUCUUCUUGAUAUGUCCGACCUGCGUUCAAUUGAUGUAAAUAUCCAAAAUGAAACAGCUUGGGUCCAAGCUGGCGCACUUCUAGGCGAACUUUAUUACAAAAUUUGGGAGAAAAGUAAAAUUCAUGCCUUCCCAGCCGGAGUUUGCCCAACUGUUGGUGUUGGUGGACACAUAACUGGAGGAGGAUACGGUAACCUGUUAAGAAAAUUUGGGCUGUCAGUUGAUAAUUUGAUUGAUGCGCGCAUAGUAGAUGUUCAUGGUAAAAUACUUAACAGAGAAUCAAUGGGAGAAGACCUGUUUUGGGCAAUCAGUGGCGGGGGUGGUGCUAGCUUUGGAGUGAUAUCGGCCUAUAAAAUUAGGCUGGUGAAAGUUCCUGAUGUUGUCACUGUUUUCCGGGUGGUGAGGACCGUUGAAGAAAAUGCAAUUGACAUUGUUUACAGGUGGCAAUUCAUUGCAGAUAAAAUAGAUAACAAUCUCUUUAUAAGGUUAACUCUAAAACCUGUUGAUGAGAAGCAAAAAGGAACUAAGACAAUUACAGUGACAUUUGUAGCAUUAUAUCUUGGAGAUUCCAGGGAGCUUCUAUCUAUCAUGGAUAGGUAUUUUCCUCAAUUGGGUUUACAUAUCAAGGAUUGCAAGGAGAUGAGUUGGAUAGAAUCUGAGCUUUUCUGGGCAAGUUUCCCAAAUGGAACACCGCCUGAUGCAUUGCUCAACCGAAAGCCAGGAGCGAAGUUUCUGAAGCGCAAGUCAGACUAUUUGCGGAAACCUAUUCCCAGGGAUAAGCUGAAAUCUAUAUUCGAUAAAAUGAUUGAAUUAGGAGACACAGAGUUGGUAUUUAAUCAAUAUGGUGGAAGGAUGAAUGAGAUCCCAGAAUGGGAAACUCCAUUUCCCCACAGAGCAGGAAAUAUAUUUAAAAUCCAGUAUGCAGCAAAUUGGGGGAAAGAAGGAAAGGAAGCAGAGAACUUCUAUUUGAACCAGACCAGAGUAUUGUACAAAUACAUGACUCCUUUUGUGUCAAAAUCCCCGAGAUGUGCAUUUUUAAACUAUAGAGACCUUGACAUAGGAGUUAACCAUAAUGGAAAUAACCGCUACAUAGAAGGCCGUGUUUAUGGACUGAAGUAUUUCAAGGACAAUUUUAAUAGAUUGGUCAAAGUCAAGACGCUGGUUGAUCCAGAUAACUUCUUCUGGAACGAACAGAGCAUCCCUCCUUUAGCAGCAUAAAGUACAAGUAUAGGGGCAAUAAAGGCAUGGUGAUGUCUGAGAAAACUUGAGGUGCCAUAUUUCCACAAAGCCAUUUCAUUUUGGCCCAUUUCUUUCUGUUGAAAGAUUAGUUUUAGAGACAACAUUCUAUGUAACUGGUAUUUGCAAAUUUCCUUUUAAGCUGAAUCAAGUUUGCUUCAAGGAACUAAGAAAUGCAAGCAACACAUACAUUUCUCAAACAUCUUAAUAAACCUCAAAUAGAAUCUGCAGUUCUCUACUUGACUAAAGUUCGUAGCUCUGGCUCAUAAGUAUAUAGCAGGAACUCAAGUGUGAUUAAGCUGGAUCGUGCAACUAGUUUCCUAGAAUGUAGUUAUGUAACUGCCUAUAAACAUACACGUCUUGUAUUUCAGUGAAACAUCUCUCGGAGUCCACUUUAGUUCAUUAACUACAGAACUAAAAUCUAAAUUGUAUAAUCCAUCUAUUACUCAAAAAAAAGAAAAUCAAAACUUGAGAACUGUUCGCCUGUUUCAUUUUUUGAGGAGUAAAUUUUCAUUAACAAAACAGUACCAAGAAGGUACUAAAACGGGUUACUCACCUGCAUGCAUUUGAAGUAUGCAUGUAGUCUAAUCAUAUAAAAUCACGAGAAUUACCAACAAAUCGAUGAUACAUGAGAGCAAAAGGAUUCUCCAAUGUAAGAUUUCAAAGUAGUUGCAUCAAGUAUAUCAAAUUACAGUAUAAAACUCAAGCAACUCAGAAUUUCCAACAAAUAGCAGAACUUUAAAUACCUUUGGCUCUGAAACAGACAACCUUGGAAUUAAUAUUAGCGGCUUACCUUUCACUGAUACAAGAGCAAUUCUGUAUAAGGUGUCUGAGGUCAAAUUUAUUCAACAACUUGACAUACAGUUGCUUGGCAGUUAGCAGCAACUAAUCACUGAGUAGAGAUUAAAUCUAAGGACCUGCAUUGCAGGUGACAGCAGAUUGGUCAAAAUGAAUAUAGCUAUGAAAUUUUCAGCUCAUACUUCUGCUUGAAUAAGAAUUUAGACAUUCUAAUUAGUUGGAUGUUUGAACUACACUAUCAACAAUGAUUUUGACACAGAAUACCAGGUAUCUAAGAUGUAUUAAGUCUGAGGGCCAGUUCAACUUGAUGGGAAAGGAAUAAAGGGCAAUCUUACCAUAUUUCACUAGCUCUGAAAAAGAAUUAGAUCAAGUUUGUACGAAAUGCGAGAGGAAACCUGAGUAUAGGUGCAUUUCAUCGAGAUAAUAAAACCAUCAAACAUCUAGCAGAAAAUUGAUGUGAAUCUCUUUACAUGUUCCUGUUGAAAUUUGCUGUGAGACAUUAGGGGUUUCUUUGCUCCAAUAUAUAAGUUAUGUGAGUAUCAGUAAUCCUACAAUUGAAGAAAACGGGGGCAAAAUAAUAUGAACCUCAUUUUUUUUUUAUAACGGUGGUGUCCGGGCCAACUUGCGCACACCUCGACUAAAUCCAUGGGAUACUUGCCACCUCCCACCGGCAACAGGUACCAGGUACCAGGUACCAGGUAACUCUGUCCACCGAGGCUAGAAUAGAUGGGAAGAAAACACCAGUGUUAGUGUUUGUCUCUGCUGGGAAUUGAACCUGAGACCUCAUGGUGCUCAUCCCAACUUCAUUGAACCACUAGGCCACACCCUUGGGUGCUAAUAUGAACCUCAUUAUGAACUACCAUCAAAAACUUCUUCCCACUGAUCCUCGGUUGAUGAGUGCAAUGACACCCGGUAAAGAAUCACAUAUAAUAAUGAAAUCUCUAGCAAUUACAAAACUAAUUCUAUUACCCCAACUACAUUACAACUUCUGAUUAGAUUCUAUAAGCAAUUCAUUUAGCAUUACAUGAACUGCAGCGUCAUAUACAACCCCGUGAUAAUGCAUCCUGAGACCUCAUGGUGCUCAUCCCAACUUCAUUGAACCACUAGGCCACACCCUUGGGUGCUAAUAUGAACCUCAUUAUGAACUACCAUCAAAAACUUCUUCCCACUGAUCCUCGGUUGAUGAGUGCAAUGACACCCGGUAAAGAAUCACAUAUAAUAAUGAAAUCUCUAGCAAUUACAAAACUAAUUCUAUUACCCCAACUACAUUACAACUUCUGAUUAGAUUCUAUAAGCAAUUCAUUUAGCAUUACAUGAACUGCAGCGUCAUAUACAACCCCGUGAUAAUGCAUUCCAUCAGCCGUACAACGAGCUCCACAUUUAUUACUCAACGCAUGAAUGUCCAGCAACACAAGGGGGCCACCAGAUUGAUGAAGCAGCUUACUGCUAUAAAGCUCAUCCGUAUAAGCUUGCCAUAACACAUCAGUCAUCUUCUCUCGCUUCUCAUUUGUAUUCAGCAUCGAGUUUAUCAGCUUUGGCAUUCCCAGCCAAAAGAAAUUGGGUGAACGAACUGACACUAAAUUCGUGCCAGCUCCAUCAUUAACAAAAUCUGAAGGUACUGAUAACAGCAAUACCACCAAAUCCCCCAACAACUUUAGGGAAACGCCAUAAUCAGUUGCAUUAUUUAUUUGUAACAUAUCCCAUAGCCCUGCUCCAAUCACAAAUACAUCAGGAUCACUCUUUUUCUCUUCAAACCCGAGAACCAAAUCACUCAAGUUACUCACAUAAGGUGCCCAAAUAAAAUCCAACUUCAUCCCAAUCUUAUCAAUAAGUAUGUUAUAAUCACUAUGCCUCUUAAACAAAUCCUCCCUAAUCAUCUCCAUUUCACUUUCCCCUAACAACAACCCCAACAAAGAAACUACAAAUAACCUUGCCUGUGAAUCCCCAGCAACAACAACCCAUGACCCAUUAAACAAAUCUGAAGCAUUAGACUUUGUCAACUUUUGGAAAUCACAUUGAACAACAGCAGGUUCAGUCUCAAUCCACUUCCAAGAUUUCUCACUAUUGUUCUCAUUAUUCAAUUCUUGAAAAUCAAAUGCUACAUGGUGAAGUAAGGAAAUGCAAGAAUUAAGAUUUACAAUAGAUGAUGAUGAUAAGGGUAAUGAACCUGAUGAAGAAAGGAAAAAAGGGGUCAAAUGAACACAAACAGCAAGGGUAAUAAAGAUGGCACAACUGAAAAAUAACAUUCUGUUGCGGCUCAAGUGCCAACCUGCCAUACCUACAGGCACAAAGAGUACAAGGAAGGCAGCCAAUACUCCCAAUUGAAUGACACCCCACAUUAUAUCUCUGAUGCUUACUGUUAAAGCAUCCUAAUUUUAGCAGCAAAUUAUAUGAAACAACAAAAAAAGAGCUCGUUUUUGUCUUCCCUUGGGGUUUAGAAAUAGAAAAAGAUUGGAUCUUUGACAGCAGAUUUUUCAAGAACUGGAGAGGUGGAUGACAAGAGACCUUCAAGAAUUGGAAUGUUGAAUAUAAUUGAAUGGUAUAACAAAUGUCCUAUUGCUGUUUUUGGGAAAGAAAUCGGAUAAAAUAUUUUGGAAGUUAAAAAGGGUAAUAAAUAUGGUAAGAAUACUAUCCGGAUAAUAGAUGUUUAAAAUUCAGAUAUAGGAAUUGAAAUUGCUCUUUUGUUAGAAAAUAAUUUACCUUCUUUUCGAACUUACUUCGCACCAAUAAGAGUGAGUACCGAAUAUGAUACAACAUGUAUUUGCCAUUUGGAGUUUAGGAAAGAAUAAAAUGGACGCAUAUAAAAUAAAGUAUAAAAACGUUUCACAUCAAAAAUAAAAAAAAGUACUAAAAAAUAAAAAUGCAUAGGCAAGCUAGCAUAAUAUAUACAUCACAGCUCAUGUAACCAAACAGACAAAAUGAAGAGAUUUUCAAUGCAAUCUUGGAAGUUCAGCCCAAUCAGAGAAUAUACCUUUGGAAGAUCAGAUUCUUGCAUGCAUUUAUAAAAAUAAAGCCCAGCAUGUGCCAAUUACCUAUCACCACCCGAUCAACAAAUUAAAUUUUGAAAAGAGAGAUAUCAAAGGAUGAAUUGCGUCUAUUGGAUUUCUGGGCAAG